rnacentral:rRNA from 1 species
AUUAGCUAGUUGGUGGAGUAACGGCCCACCAAGGCUACGAUGUCUAGGGGCUCUGAGAGGAGAAUCCCCCACCACUGGUACUGAGACACGGACCAGACUCCUACGGGAGGCAGCAGUAAGGAAUAUUGGUCAAUGGGGGCAACCCUGAACCAGCCAUGCCGCGUGCAGGAAGACUGCCCUACGGGUUGUAAACUGCUUUUAUCGGGGAAUAACCCUCACUACGUGUAGUGAGUUGAAUGUACCCGAGGAAUAAGGAUCGGCUAACUCCGUGCCAGCAGCCGCGGUAAUACGGAGGAUCCAAGCGUUAUCCGGAUUUAUUGGGUUUAAAGGGUGCGUAGGCGGCACUUUAAGUCAGGGGUGAAAUACGGCAGCUUAACUGUCGCAGUGCCUUUGAUACUGAAGUGCUUGAAUGCGGAUGAAGACGGCGGAAUGAGACAAGUAGCGGUGAAAUGCAUAGAUAUGUCUCAGAACACCAAUUGCGAAGGCAGCUGUCUAAGCCGUAAUUGACGCUGAUGCACGAAAGCGUGGGGAUCGAACAGGAUUAGAUACCCUGGUAGUCCACGCCCUAAACGAUGAUGACUCGAUGUUUGCGAUAUACAGUAAGCGUCCAAGCGAAAGCGUUAAGUCAUCCACCUGGGGAGUACGCCCGCAAGGGUGAAACUCAAAGGAAUUGACGGGGGCCCGCACAAGCGGAGGAGCAUGUGGUUUAAUUCGAUGAUACGCGAGGAACCUUACCCGGGCUUGAAAGUUACUGAAGCAUCCAGAGACGGAUGCGUCCUUCGGGACAGGAAACUAGGUGCUGCAUGGCUGUCGUCAGCUCGUGCCGUGAGGUGUUGGGUUAAGUCCCGCAACGAGCGCAACCCCUAUGUCUAGUUGCCAGCACGUUAAGGUGGGGACUCUAGACAGACUGCCUGCGCAAGCAGUGAGGAAGGCGGGGACGACGUCAAGUCAUCAUGGCCCUUACGUCCGGGGCUACACACGUGCUACAAUGGACGGUACAGCGGGCAGCUACACAGCAAUGUGAUGCCAAUCUCGUAAAGCCGUUCACAGUUCGGAUCGGGGUCUGCAACUCGACCCCGUGAAGUUGAUUCGCUAGU